rnacentral:lncRNA from 1 species
UUUUUUUUUUUUUUUUUUUGUCGACAGGGGUGUCCGGAUCAAUUUUUACAGGGUCCGACUAAUCCCUUGCGAUCUAGAUCCGGCGCCCCAAUCCGAUUCUAACACGUUGAGUGCGCGGAGGAAUCCGUAAACCCUUCUUGAGUUGAAGUUUCAAAAUUUGCCCUGUGAUAAUUACUUAAAAAGCAAUAGUGAUUUUGUAACCAGACACGAUUACAGAACAUAUAGAUGGUACGUGAAGGCACAGUCUAGACUCUAGGGGCGAGAGUGAACGUACACUAGUACGCAAGUCACAAGUUUAUAGGACUUUGCGAAUUAUUGUUGACUUACAUAUCUAGCGAACUUUAUUAAUCCAUCAAUUUGCUCUGGUCUGAUAACGAAUGAAAAAACCGCAAUUUGUUUUCCUAAGUUCUUUUAGAUGGCAUGGAAUAAAAUUUUUUUUCAGAAAUAGCUCAAAUGGCUUGAUAUCUUCAUUAUUUUGGAUUAUGUAUUAGAUUAAUUGGAAUGAGCCACCGAGAAGACUGUUAAUACCGGAACAUGAUGGGAUCCUAACAUGGCAAAGCUGCGGAGUUUAUAGUAAACAAGAUGGGUAAAAAGUUUUUAUUUUUAUUUUGGUAAAAAGUUUAUUAAUACUGACCCAGAAGAAAAUAACAUACAAGUGUAAGUUUCUUGGUUGAUUGAACAACGUCUCCGAACUACAAAAAAAAAAAAAAAAAAAAGAGUACAUUAAACUAAUUCCACCAGUAAAUUGCAACGUCCCCCUAGAUAGCAUACUCAAAAGAACUGACGGGUCUGGCAGUGAAUGUGAAGGGCAUCUUCUUUCUCACAGAUCAUUAAUGUCAAGUUUAAUUCUCUGAGGUAAACUGACGGUCUGAUCUAGUAUGCGCAUGCUAAUUACCGCCAAAUUUCAGGAAAUUGAACACGGUUGCUUGUGGGAAUCCUAUCCUCCUGGACAUUCUUGGAUUGAUUGAUUCUAAGAUUGGCAAUGGGAUGGGUGGCCGCGAUCACCCGCCCCACAGGGGGCUAAUGGGGCAGGGUUAGGGCGGGUGCGGGGGUAGUAAAUAUAUAAAAAAUAUAUAUGUAUGUACAUAAUUAUAUAUAUAAUAUAUAAUUUAAUUAGUUACAAACUUAUAGUAAUGAUAUUAUUAGUUAUAUGUAUUAUAUAAUGUAUAUUAGUAUAUGUAAUAUAAUUGAUAUUAUCAAUUAUACUAAUAAUUAUAUAUAUGUACUAAUACAAAUUAUUAAUUGGUUAUAUUAAAUUUACUAAUACAUUUAUACUAAAUCCAUAAUCACACUUAAUACAAUAAUAUUUUUUCUCAAAAAAAAAGUACAAGUACAAUAAUGAAUUAGUGAUUGUAUUUGUGUCAAAAGUGAAAACUUGACUACUUUAGUUGUAUUUAUUUCAUUAUAUUGGAUUGUAUUCAAAUAACUUUUGUUUGAUUGUUUUUAUAAGUUUCAAUUGUAAAAUUACAAUGAAUAAUAAUUUGGUGAUGUGUUGAUAUUUUAGUACUUGAUUAUUUGAUAAAAAUUUAACUAUAAUAAAAUUAUAUAACAAAUUUUUAUUAGUCCCACGGGGCACCCGCUGAGGAACGGGGCGGGGGCGGGGUUGGGCCAUCCUUAUUUUUUUUUCCAAACGAUAACAUUGUAUUAAGUAUCAAAGAUACAAAGUUAGAGCAACUGCUCCUGUACAUCUGCUCGAGCUAACUCCAGCAGCCAUGCUGGGAAGCUUUGCUUCCAUUCAGCUGAAUCAAACAAAUUUAUAGCAAAUUUUGCUAAUUUGUGACUUACAGAGUUGUUACCCCUUUUAGUGUGGGAGAAACAACAUUUGUCAAAAUCUUGUAUCAAGCUCCAGAUAUCCAUCUGGAUGGUGGCUAUACUUGCUCCCUCCUCCCUAGCUUUAAUUUUGUCCACUACCAGCUUGCAAUCCGAUUCUAACUCUACCUUCCUCCAUCCCAUCUACUUAGCAAUUACCAUUGCUUCUCGUAGAGCCAAAGCUUCCUCCACCUGAGCCUCUGCACAGCCUUCAGUUGGCCUCGCCCAUGCCCCUUCCAGUUCCCCUGAUCCAUUUCUUGCCACUAUACCCUACCCUGCUUUGUUAUGUUUUUGGUUUAAGGCUGCAUCAGUGUUGAUUUUGAUCCAGUCCUCUUGAGGUCUUUCCCAUCCCCUAUCCCUCUCCUGCUCUCCACUUGUCACGGUCUCAUAUCUUGACCCCCUCCCUUGUGCCAGGUGAUGCUCAUUCCAAUCCAUCAGUGCUCUGUUGACCACCACAAUAGGCUCAUAACUCCUAUUGUUGAACUGCCUAUCAUUCCUAGCUUUCCAUAUCUGCCACAAGAGGUUUACCGUGAGAGUUAUGUGCUCCCUCCCUUUUUCCCGAACCACAACUCCUCUAAGUUCUUCCCACCAAUGCCAAAAACUAUUCCUAAACACUUCCAGCCCAUCCCACUUUAAUGGUGCCACCUCCCAGAUUGCUGUAGCAUUACUACACGGAAAAAACAGGUGCUCUAAUGUCUCAGAACUAUUUCCACAGCACUUGCACAUAUGGUCCCCCUUGCCACACUUCCCCUUCACUACUGUGUUAGUUGGCAGGAUUCCUUGUAAGUAUUUCCAGAUGAAGUGUUUAAGCUUGUUUGGCAUAUUCAAUCCCCACAGGAAGCUCCAACUUUGAGAUUUAAUCCUCCUGCUAAUGCUUGGCUCUGGAGCUCCUCUAGUCUGACACUGUCCUUUCUUCAUUUCCUUUAUCAGCUUAUAGCCAGUUUUAACAGUAUACACACCUGAGUUGGAUUUCGCCCAAUAGAUCCUAUCUUUGACCCUUCCCAAGCUCAGUGGGAUCUUUAAUAUCUGCCAUCUGCCUUCCUCCUCAAAUUCCCGCAUCACCACCUCUUUAUUCCAUUUUCCAUUCUUGAUCAGCUCACUCACCUUUUGAAACUUACUGUCAUCUUUUUCCUGGGACCUUACUUUCUCAUUUUCUACCCCUGGCAGCCAUCUGUCUUCCCAAAUAUGAAUUGAUUUACCAUCCCUCACCCUCCACCUUAAUCCUUCGGCUAGUAUUCCUUUUGCACUUAACAGACUCUUCCAGCACCAUGAAUCUGAACCUCUUUGUUGUACCUCCCAUAUGGACUUCCCAGCAAAGUACUUGGCUUUCAUUACUCUACUCAUCAGCAAAUUUGGUUGCAUCAGGAUUCUCCACAAUUGCUUCCCUAAUAGUGCUAAGUUAAAAUCCUGUAGAUUCCUAAAUCCCAAACCACCUUCAGCUUUAAUAUCAGUCAUUCUAUCCCAUUUAAUCCAGUGAAGUUUCCUUUCAUUCUCCUUCUGUCCCCACCAAAACUUUGCCAUCUUUGAACACACAUUCUUACACAAUGUCCUUGGCAGCCUACAACAAGACAUCUGGAAGAGCUAGAAUAACUGAUUUCAAAAGGAUCUUCUUUCCUGCCUGGCUCAGGAGUUUUUCCUUCCAACCACCAAGUUUUUUAACUGUUUUCUGCCUAAUAAACUCAAAAACCUGUCUCUUUGAUCUUCCUAUGACCAUAGGAAGUCCUAAGUAUUUGCUUUGAUUAACCUCUUUCAUACCUUCCAGCUCCUUAAGCACUUCUACCCUUUUCCUUCCUUUGACAUUUUUACUGAAAAAGAUAGAGGACUUAUCCUUGUUUAUCAACUGGCCUGAAGCUCUUCCAUAGUCUUCCAAAACCUUCAUCAGCUGCACUGCCUCUCCCCCUUGGCUCUGCAGAAGAUUAGAGAAUCAUCUGCAAAAAAGAGGUGCGACAAACUAGGAGCUUCUUUAGCAAUCUUCAUUCCAUGCAUACUACCCUGCCUAUUAGCUCUCCUUAGUAGAGCAGAAAAACCUUCUGCACAAACCAGAAACAAGUAAGGGGAUAAAGGGUCCCCUUGUCUUAAGUCUCUAGUAGGCUUAAUGUACCCCCUUUUCUCCCCAUUAAUAUUGAUAGCAUAAGUAACACUAGUAAUGCAUCCUAGAAUCCACUGGAUCCAAAUUGGACAGAACCCCGUCUUUUGCAUCAUUUUUGCCAAAAACACCCAUUCUACCUUAUCAUAAGCCUUAGACAUAUCAACCUUAAUAGCCAUAUAACCAUCAUUUCCAGAUCUUUUAUUAUUUAGAAAGUGAAUGCUCUCAUGUGCAAUAAACACAUUGUCCAAAAUCUGCCUACUAGGCACAAAAGCAGACUGAGAUGAACUAAUACAACAGUCCAACACAGUUUUAAAUCUGUUGACUAAGACCUUGGAAAUGAUCUUAUAAAUGACAUUACACAGACUUAUAGGUCUAAACUCUGUGAUCAGGUUUGGGGAUUCAGUUUUAGGAAUUAGACUGAUCAGGGUCUCAUUUAUGGACUUCAGCAUAUGACCAGAGUGAAAAAAACUUUGAACAGCACUGAUAACAUCACUUUUAAUGACAUGCCAAAACUUUUGAAAAAAGAUAGGGGACAUACCAUCUGGUCCAGGAGACUUGUUUGGAUGCAUGGAAUUGACUGCCUGACUGAUUUCUUUAUCUGAAACUGGCCUUGUCAACUUUCUGUUCAUUUCAGCAUGGGCGCGUCCUUUAUCUGUUGGGCCAUCCUUAUUUGAUUCCUGUUUUUGUAUCUGCAUGGGCGCGUAACCACGCAAUUAGUGGAUCACUACUAUAGGUAAUCCUUAUGUUUUAAACUAAUAUUCAAGCAGUGUUUGGUAAUGGAAUUAGACUGGUUGGUUAAUUUUGGUUCAAAAUUUUAGAGGAUAGAGAAAUUUGUGUUAAAUCAAACUAAGUUGAAUUAUUAAAAAAUUAAAGUGCAAAUAAUAACAAGACACUUGACAUAAUACUAUAGGUAGCAUUGAAUACUUGUAACCGAGGAUCCCAAGUGCGUAACCAUGCAAUUAGUGGAUCACUACUAUAGGUAAUCCUUAUGUUUUAAACUAAUAUUCAAGCAACCGGAGUCACAUCAGCGUCUAAUGCCCAUAAAGCCGAAUUGGUUGAGUUGUAUUGUUUAUAAUAAUCAGGUUGGUGACAUCUGGGAUACUGUGUUCUUGGUUCCACCUUUUGGGAAAGUAUUCUUAUUUUUUUCAUCUGCAGUUCUGCACACAGGAUUCCUCUCAAGUUCCCUUUUAACUGAAUGCUUUUCUUGUUAUGAAGAUUUCUUUGACUCGAAUACUCACUUUAAAAUUCUGAUGAAAAGUAUACUAGAAACCUCACCGGAAUGUUCUUAUGCGGUGUUUCUUUUAUUUCAAACUAUUUCACAUAGGCUGCUUAAACUUGUAAAAAAGAUUCCUUUAAAAUCCAAAAACUAUGUCAAAAGGGGCCUGAAAGCCCGAAUACAGACUGCAGAACAACUUUUAUGACGAAAUGAUUUUUUUUUCUUCCCUUUUUAGCGUGGAAACAUUUUUCAUUUUUCCAAAACUUGUUUCAUUCUUUAAUCCCCUUGAGUGAAUUUAAAGAAAACAGGGAUAGACCCUCUAUUUGAAUUGAUGACAGACAAAAGACACUACUGUCUAAUCUGUACAUAAACCUAGCUUGCUAAAUGGUUAACGGGGAAGAAGUCUUCCGCUUUCUCAGUUUACAAUAAUAUUUUGGUGCAAACUUGGACCAACCCGUAACAGCACCGUUGAUUGAGUGCUAUGAAUUAUGAUAGCAUUAUGAAGUUGAUGAGUAUUGAUCAAACUAAGGCCAGCCAAGUAAGCAACUUCAUAUAAGUAAUUAUUGCCACUUAUUCUCGUCUCUCUCUCUCUCUCUCUCGAGUACUUGCAUUGCAUGUGCAAUUGUGCAUGCUUUUACAGCAUACAGUGACACAUUUGUUUUCUUCCAACUGAACUCCAAAACAGAAGCAAAGAAGCAAGGAAAGGAACUAGUCGUUCUUAUUUUAACUGACAAAAAACUAGUACGUAGCAGAAAACAACAAAGAAAUUCUAGCGGUACGUGGUAGAAAACAUCAAAGAAAUUCCUAUUAUUUGUUGUGAAUAGGAGGAGAGUCACGGUGUUGUCGCUGGUAGUCGUCCGUCUUUAUAAUGUCAUGGGAACCGAUGGCCUCCAAUGUCAUGUCUUGCUCAGCUGCUGACCCUCUUGAAACCUGCAUAAACACUACAUUUUACAUAUCAUAUGUGCUAUUUUUGCUUUAGACUAGUAGGGUCUUAUUUUUCUCUUACUUUUGAGUUUCACUUUUCUAGUUUAUUACUGUUGCGUGAAUGGAUAUACAUGUGUAGGUAGAGAAUCAUCUGAUUUGCUUUUUCUGAAUUUGUUGAAUAAAACAGGUUUUUUGUUGCAACUUUUUAGCUUAAAGAUACGAGUAUUGUUCAAGGUUCUCCAUCCACUCAUUCCUGUUACAUCCUUUGAUGAUGGAAAAAGUAGUUCGGCCAAAUUUUGGCGGGGAGGAUCUGUUUAAAACAUACUAGAAAUUACCUGUUUUUUAUAUUGUGAAGAAGCAUUAAGUGACAGUAAAAGCACCUCUAAUCUAUCCCGAAAACAUUUACUCGUAAAUAUAUAAUUAUCUUCAUGAAACCUUGCCAAAAUGUAAAUGCUUGUAAAGGGGUUUGUACUUUCAUGUCUUAAUCCUGGGAUUGGAAUUGUGUGCAUUAAAAAAUUGUCAUGAUCAUCUCAGACAUGAUAACAUUUACGAAUCAAAAUUCACAAUAAAAAACCCUCUAAUCAAAUUUGAAGACCAGUACUUUUCAGCUUAAGUACCUCUGUUUUUGUUGCCUCGAGGAAAUUCAUGCGAGAAGAAGACUCAACAACCUUUCUUCCUGCGUGACAUACUCCAUUAAUAUAAUGAAUAGUAAUGGUAGUGGUGCAGAUUACCGCAAUUCUCAAAAGAAGAUCAAUAUUUAGUCAAAACGAAUCAAUAAAAUACAAAACAUUAAUAGAUUGAUAAGUGCAAGGUGAAAUUUCUUAUUUGUACUGCCUUUAGACUACUACUCCAAUCAAACUCGAAACAAAAGCAAUAAUAUGGGUAAAUUGUGACGGCCUGGAGGAAACAAAGGCUAAUGUAAAUGAUCAAUUAUGGGAGGGAGGGCGAGUGCGCGGUUGGGAAUAAUCGGAGUAAAAGAAUCCAGGAUGUUUGUCGUGGUUAAUCUUGUGCCCAGAAGAAUCAUAAACCGAUCGUAAAAUGUUGGAGUGACACCUGAUUUCCAUCUUGGAUCCUCAUCUUUUUCCUUCACGGCCUUUGAACCAAAUAUUGGAUCAAAGCGGUCUGGGAUGCUACCAGACGGCAUGCUAUGUUGGCGUCCAAUUGCAUUUGCUUCUUGUUCAAAAGAAUCCUUCCUGAGCUCGAUUUUCUCUCCAAUUUUCACCUUGGGAGCAGUAAUAAUAAUGAUGAUAAAUCCUACUACUACUACUAACUAACUUAUCUAUUGCAUCGUUAAACUUCCACCAUAAACACGGUUGAAACUAAGAAGUAUGUCGAGUGCAAACCUUGCAAUCAAGAAAUUCCUUGAGAGAACCAGCAUUGGUGAUGACCCUGAAGCUGCGAGCAUUAGAUUUACGCGCAUGCAUGGGGAAAAACAAGAAAAGGAUGAAAAAAGAAAGUGAAGUGCUCCUAGAUAAGAAGAAAAACGAGGGUAGAGAUGCCAUAUGGGAGAGUAACUGGUGAUUAAGAGUUGGAUGUAAUUUAGAGAUUCUAUUUGGUCUUGGGCGCAAUGAGUUUUUGCCAGGAAGAAUGCGAUGAACGAGAAGAGAGAAAGCAUUCUACAGAUAUGUUCAGGUAAUAAACAGUGGAAGAGUUUAUUGGAAAAAGAGGCUUGAGUCAUUUGAUCACCAUGGCAUAAAUCCCACUGCAUCCUGACUAAUGUAACCAAUGAAAUGGUCUUUGAUCGAUCGUACUACUUGGGAUGUUAAUUAUCCCCUACAGCACAAGUUACCACAAAGAGUGUGGCGGCAUCUCUCCGGUCUGUCUUUGAAUUGUGAAAAUUUGAUAGAAAUCAAUAAAACAUACACGGAUUAGAUUCAUUGCAAUUGCGAAUGCAAAUUAAUUGAGAGACCGAUGCAGUUUGAUGUAUCGAUCUGAGCCAUAAAUUGGUAACACAUGCCUCGUGCAAUCAAACAAAUUGUGUUCAAUCAAUCAUUCUGUAUGACAGUCUUCAUUUUCCAGUUUCCACAAAAAUGGGUGUCACGGUGGUGUUCGAGUCCUCUCAUGAAGUACCCGAGUUGGGCAAAUCCCUUUCCUGCUCAGUGCAUUCUGGAAGGGUCAAGGGGCCCAAGGGCCUUUGUUCGCUAACACCCUUUAAUGCGAUCCAUCGAUGCAAGCUGUGUUUUUUUUUGUUUUAUGGUCACUCAACGUCCAUCCUUACCACAGCAAAAUCACCACCGGAUUCAUUCAUAUACUCUGCCUUUGCUGUUUGUUAUAGCAUAACAAGGAUUAUAAAUAAGACUCAAACUUAGACACAUAAGGUGAUAAUUGAGAUCAUUAUUUCAUCGGCUUUCGCAAUCGAAAAAUAAUAUACAGCAAGACUGCCAAGCCUAUUGAAAUCAGAAAUAAAAGAAUUCCGUACCCCAAUUGACGCUGCCUCUAGAAAUGGUGUAGGGAACUAGAGACACCAUCCAACUACGUGCUUGCAUUUAGUAUAUUAUCUAUGCUUUGAACCCUUCUUAGACAAAACAGUGGUGCUUUUUUUGUUACUCUUAUUACUAGACAAAAAAAGGACUAGGAGAAUGGAUAGACAAACUCCAAAAGUCACACAGGCUCGCCAAUCCAGCAAAUAAGUAACGAGAGGUCGAAGAAGAAGAUUUGCCAACACGGGGACAAGUUUGCUAAAACCCAGAGAACGGAGAGUAAAAACUGGCGACUGGCUUUAGUUGGUCCAAUGGGUCAGCUAAUUCCUUGCACGAAAUCUAAGCACUACAGGCCCCGUGUGUGUCUUCUGGAUCCAAUUUUCCCUAGACAUUACAACCAGAAUGAGGCCAUAAGCUCCAUUCCUUGCACGAAAUCAAGCCUUGCGGUUUUCCCUAACAAAUGGCUGCAAAUUUAGACUACUCUCGAGGGGGGCAGUGCUGACAACAUGUUAAACAUCUGAAAUGUAUACGUGCGCGUCUUCAUCCCCUUGGAUAUACAAAUACAAGCAGCAGAGACGGAAAACGAGAUAGUAAAACCAAGAAGCCUACUUAGUUUCAAAACGCACGUUGACAUAAAAAGAAAUUAGAUUAUUACAAAAUUACAACAACAUAUGCGGGAGGCCAAACCAACGGAUUGAGCGGGUACAGUCAAACCAAUUACUAUUUAUUCCUAGAAGCAAACUGAUAGGCUAUAUUUAUGUACAGGAAGACAAGCUUGUGGACGUUAGACAGCACAUAUGUGACGAAAGCCAGCAGCCGAAGAUUUAGGAAAUGGGAAA